GCCUUCGUAGCUCAAUCGGAUAGAGCACCUGUCUACGGAACAGGAGGUUGGGGGUUCGAGUCCCUCCGGAGGCGCCA
rnacentral:tRNA from 1 species